rnacentral:rRNA from 1 species
GGUUGACCCUGCCAGUAGCAUAUGCUUGUCUCUGAGACUAAGCCAUGCAUGUCUAAGUAUAAAUUAAUUUUUACGGUGAAACUGCGGACGGCUCAUUAAAUCAGUUAUAACCUACUUGAUCGUGUGACUUUUACUCGGAUAACCCUAGUAAUUCUAGAGCUAAUACGUGCUAAAAGCCUUGACUUCCAGCAAUGGGGGAAGAGGUGUAUUUAUUAGAAACUAAAAUCAAUCAGCUUCGGCUGUUUGAGGUGAUCCAUAAUAACUUGGCAAAUUACGGAAAAAUUCCUGUGAUGAUUCAAACGGAUUUCUGACCUAUCAACUUUAGAUGGCAAAGUAGGGGUUUGCCAUGGUGACAACGGGUGACGGGGAAUUAGGGUUCGAUUCCGGAGAGGGAGCCUGAGAAACGGCUACCACUUCCAAGGAAGGCAGCAGGCGCGCUAAUUACCCAAUGCUAAUUCGGCGAGGUAGUGACAAGAAAUACCAAUGUAGGACCCAACGGGUACCACGUUUGGAAUGAGUACAAUUUAAAAACCUUAACGAGGAACAAUUGGAGGGCAAGUCUGGUGCCAGCAGCCGCGGUAAUUCCAGCUCCAAUAGUGUAUAUUAAAGUUGCUGCGGUUAAAAAGCUCGUAGUUGGAUUACGAAGUGGUGUUUAAAUGUUAAUUUUGGUUGGUCUGUCCUUCGGGGCAUUCUGGCUGACUUUGGCACUUACUCACUGAUGUCAUUGUCUUUGCCCAAGGUAAUUGCCUUGUGUGCAUGGCAUUGACCUUCUAUUUUAUGGUAAUGAGGUCAUCUUUCGGGGUGACUCUUCAUUCCAUAUAGUUUACUUUGAAAAAAUUAGGGUGUUUAAAGCAGGCGAAAAGGCUUCGGAAUAUAUUAGCAUGGGAUAAUAGAAUACGAUUUAGGUCGUAAUUUGUUGGUUUCUACGGCUUAGGUAAUGAUUGACAGGGAUAGUUGGGGUCGCUCGUAUUGAGUUGUCAGAGGUGAAAUUCUAGGAUUAACUCAAGACGAACUAAUGCGAAAGCAUUCGGUAAGGAUGUUUUCAUUAAUCAAGAACGAAAGUUGGGGGAUCGAAGAUGAUCAGAUACCGUCGUAGUCUCAACUGUAAACUAUGUCGACCGAGGAUCCGGUAGCGUUACAUGGAUGACCUUCCGGGCACUCUGUGAGAAAUCAUAAGUAUUUGGAUUUCGGGGGGAGUAUGGUCGCAAGGCUGAAACUUAAAGGGAUUGACGGAAGGGCACCACCAGGAGUGGAAUCUGCGGCUUAAUUUGACCCAACACGGGAAAAUUUACCAGGUCCGGACACAGUGAGGAUUGACAGAUUGAGAGCUUUUUCUUGAUUUUGUGGGUGGUGGUGCAUGGCCGUUUUUUAGUUGGUGGAGUGAUUUGUCUGGUUAAUUCCGUUAACGAACGAGACCUUAACCUAUUAAAUAGCUGCGCGAACCCAGGUU